rnacentral:rRNA from 1 species
AACGAACGCUGGCGGCAUGCCUAACACAUGCAAGUCGAACGAAACCUUCGGGUUUAGUGGCGGACGGGUGCGUAACGCGUGGGAAUCUGCCCUUUGCUUCGGAACAACAGUUAGAAAUGACUGCUAAUACCGGAUGAUGUCGCAAGACCAAAGAUUUAUCGGCAAAGGAUGAGCCCGCGUAGGAUUAGCUUGUUGGUGAGGUAAUGGCUCACCAAGGCGACGAUCCUUAGCUGGUCUGAGAGGAUGAUCAGCCACACUGGGAUUGAGACACGGCCCAGACUCUUACGGGAGGCAGCAGUGGGGAAUAUUGGACAAUGGGCGAAAGCCUGAUCCAGCAAUGCCGCGUGAGUGAUGAAGGCCUUAGGGUUGUAAAGCUCUUUUACCAGGGAUGAUAAUGACAGUACCUGGAGAAUAAGCUCCGGCUAACUCCGUGCCAGCCGCCGCCGUAA